AAAAGAAGAAGAAUAUGUGACAGAUACAGAUGGUCAAAAAUAUUUACUAUCUGGCUUUUUACAGAAAAAAGUUUGCUGACCCUUGAUCUAGAUUAUCUCUGGCAGAUGAGUCUGUGGAAAAACCGCUCACAGAGGAAAUGAGAUGAGAAAACUGAACCUCAGAGAAGCUAACUGACUUUCUCAAGUUCACAACAGAUAAUUAAGAGAUACUAUGGGUAUGAAGAGGAUGUUUAGUUUUCUAUAGCUAUUCUUUCGUUUAAACUUUCAACACCUUCCAGGUUGUAUGCUCUGUCUCCAGGUAUCACCAUAGUGCCAGAGGUUAAAAUAAUUUGGAUAUUUUGAAUGGAAACACAAAAACAAAAACUACAGAUAGCCUUAAUUUAACAUGCGCUGCAGAAAUGAUUUGACAUUUCCCAAUUCUCCUAGGCCUUAGCUCUGUCCAUGCCAAAGUAUGUUUUUUGAGCCCUGGUUCUACAUAUAUAGCUUAUUUUUUCCUAACAAAUUAAGCAUACGGUUCUAAGUGCUGGAUUUACUUUCUAUAGGUUCCUUUAUGUACUUCAAGUCAGCCUGGCAACAUUUCUCCUCCUGCUCUGCAAACAUUUUUACUUUUUAAAAUUCCCAACACCAUCCCUUUUUUUUCCUGGAGUAUUCCCAAAUUAGCUAUUCAUCAUUUGCUCUCUUUGAAGUUUUGGAUGUAGAUUUUAGCAUCUAUUAGAAUCUCCUCACCACCUCCCCUUAAUUUAGUUGCUCUAAAGUACCAGUAAACAAUGUAGAUUCUUAUGAAGAUUUUCUGAAGGAGCAGAGGAAAGAAUUUCUAUCACUUAUUUCAUAACCAGUAUCUUCAGAAUCCCUGUUAGAUAUCACUAUUCUUUAAAACUUCUCCUUAGGUUUGCUACCAUCAAGGAUUUUCUUCUCUUAUUUUUUUUUCCAUGAAUACCUCAGCUUCCUUGGCUCCUUUCUUUACCAGAGUAUCCUUGAGAAUUCUUAGUUCCUUAUCACUUUAUUAUGUAAAGUUUUUGAAGUCAAGUCUAUCUCCUAACUGCAAAUUUAUGUAUCUAAAUCCAUCACAGGGCUCAAAAAAAGCAAAGGCCCUUAACAGGAUCUUUGUUGCUUAGGAGGCAUGGUCUUCUUUUAUUACUUGUGCAGUCUUACUCCAAACCCUAAAUGUAAAAUAUUUAUUUCAAUUAAGUUCUGUGCUUUCCCCAAAAGAAGCUUUCUUACUAUUUUCAACAGAUAAAAGAAUGAACAUCUAUAUUGUUUAUACAUCUAUAUUGUUGUUACAUCUAAUUUUUUCAUAGGAGUGGAUUAAAAUUAACAUAUUUUGGAAAAAAUUCACUGGAAAAAGAAAGAUACACAGGAAUAGGCUACAACAGAAUUCUGUCCAAAGUACUAGGUGCUGUGGAGGAAUUCCUGUUGGAAGUAUCUAAUGAGACAACAUGUAGUAAGUGCAAUGUUUGGUUAUUCUUAUUAUUUAUUAUUCUUGUUUAUUGCUUUAUUAUAAAUUUUGUUAGAUAACAAACUAAAAUGAUACAUGCAAGACGUUUAAAAACAAACAUACUAGAACACUAAUGUCCAAAUGAGUUUUAAUCCCUUUAAAGUACUUCUUAGAGAUCAGACACACACUACAAUGAUGCUGUUAUGAAGCUAAACAUUUUUGUCCACGGAAAUUAGCUUUCAGACAGUUAUUUUAAGGUCUCAUCAGAAGAAAAUCAAUUUCACUGUAAUGUAAUUAAGAUUGGUUUUUCUACACCAAAUGUAAUUGGUAGUUUAGUCACAAACUUUUUUUACUAACUUCGCUCCAAAUUGCUUUAGAUUUACAACAGCGAGUGUUUGUUUAAAAUAAUGUGCCACAGGCUCAGAAGGCAGUGCCCAAGGAGAACCAGUGGUAGCAGAUUUGGAAUAAAUAUGCCAUUUACUCAAUACUUGUGUGAUCUUGGCCAAAUCAUAUCCUCUGGGCCUCAGUUUUCUUUAGUGUAUUGAGGGGGUACUGUCUAACUCAGUCAUUCAGUGAUCACAGUAGAAAAUCAAUAGCAUAUAAAAGCAACAACCUGAGGCAACUUGAGUUGGCACUUCAAGACAGGGAGAAGAGAGAAUGGAUGUUUAUCAGGAGUAUGUUUUCAUUUUUGUUUUUGUUUUUUGAUGCUAUAAUUUAAAUUUUAACUCGAUUUGGAA